UAUGGAGGGUGCGAGCGUUAAUCGGAAUAACUGGGCGUAAAGGGCACGCAGGCGGGCUUUUAAGUGAGGUGUGAAAUCCCCGGGCUUAACCUGGGAAUAGCAUUUCAGACUGGGAGUCUAGAGUACUUUAGGGAGGGGUAGAAUUCCACGUGUAGCGGUGAAAUGCGUAGAUAUGUGGAGGAAUACCGAAGGCGAAGGCAGCCCCGUGGGAAUGUACUGACGCUCAUGUGCGAAAGCGUGGGGAGCAAAAAUG
rnacentral:rRNA from 1 species